ensembl:lncRNA
UCCAAACCCUAUUUACAUUUAUCUCUUGCACAUUGUUGUGUCUGCCAUUGCCUUCAAUCACUCUUCCUCCACCAAAAAAAUCUCCCCACUAAAUAAAUAAAUCCCCACAUUUUUGGCCACAAGUGGUUACUCUAAGCAAGUAAUUAGGUGCUGGAUUUAAAAGUUUGAAUCCCUCUUCCGGUAUUUGUCAAGCAUGCAUUUUGUGUUAAUCACUCCAUUACUCUAUAUGGUAUAUAUUUCCUUAGGAAAUGAAUCAGAGAAGAGGAACCUUUGCCUCAUCUCCUCUCGAACCAAUGAAGAAACAGAGGGGUUUUUUCCAAUGAUCCAGAAACGUUUUCCCUUUCCUUAUGGUGGACGUGUGAGUCACUGCGGCUGGAGAACUUGGAAGACAACUCAGAGCCUCUGAAGCAAAUUUGAUGCAACUGAAAUCAGGACUGUAUUUGAAGAGCUCAAGAAAUGGAGAGUAUUUCUUUUUUCCAUUCAGGUGUUUAGGGUGAGUAGAACACGUUAUCUUGUACACUGCGCAGUGAAGAAGCAUGUCUGUAUCGUCAGAGGAACCUCUUCCUUGUUCUAUCUUUGCUAGGAUAACGCCAGGCCUAAUUUAGCAGCAGCGAGGCAGAACAUUUGGAUUUUGUCAUCCAUUUCCAGAACUAUUGUUCGCUUCCCUUUCCCCCCCCCCCCCCCUCCGUCUUUCUUGUUUUAGCUGUAUGUUUUCUGGUAGGUUCCAAAAGAAUAGUUAAUGCCGACCUGAUGAUUAAUUAAUAUUUUCUUUGUGCUCUGAGGAUGGAAAGCCUUUAUCGAAAUACUUAUUCAUUAUUUUAUUUAUUAUUACAUGGGCACAUGUUGAUGUAUUUACAAGUGUAACCUCAUGAAAAAUGUGUGCAAAGGGUAUAGGAUGGGAUGACAUAUAACGAAGGAAAAUGUAUCUUAAAUAUUAGGAAACAUGUCCCAAUGGUGAGAUCUAGCUGCUAUUAUUAUUAUUAUUCAUGUGUAUUACAGUGGGACCCAAAAGCCCCAAGCAAGAUCAGGACCUCAUUGUGAAAACUGACUAGCAAUCUUGAGCGCUUCGGGUUUUGGCUUGUCUAAUUUAAGACCUGUAAAGGGGCUGAUUUUCAAAAAUGCCAAGAACCCCUCCUCUGAAAAUCAGGCCCCUCAGGUUGGGCACUCGCAAGUCGCUUGUGAAAAUGUAGGCCAAAGAUAGUCCCUGCUCUGAAGACCCUAUUAAGGGCCCAGUUCAACUUCCAUUGAAGUCAAUUGGAUUCUUUCUGAUGACUGCAAUGUUAGGUUAUCUAAUAGGUUAGGGCAUCUAAUAACUACCUAGAUGUUUGAAGGAUGUAAUACCCUGUCAGUAUCGCUUCAAUGAGAGUUUGGGCCAGGAUCCUCAAAGGUAUUUAGGCUCCUGACUUCUGCUGAAAUCAAUGGGAGUUAGGGACCUAAAUACCUUUGAGGAUCUCGGCCCUUGUCUUGUGUCUGAAUAUGGAUAUCAGGAUUGACUCCCAAUGAAGAAGAAUUAUUACUUAGGAUGGCACCAGUGCAUAGGCACUCAGACCUUGCAGGGAUGAGUAUGAUGUAAGGGCAUAGAUACAACUAGAAAUACUGGAAUGAAAUAGAGAAAGAGGGAAAUUCAGGUUGAAUAGCAGGGCAGAUUUCCUGAUGGUGAGGUCUAUAUUAUUUGAUGAAUAGACUUUCAGUGGGAAUUGGGAGCCUAACAUAAUUUUCACACAUUUGAAAAUCUCACUCUCGGGCUAAAAUUCAUUGAUUCCAGUGGGGUUCCAAAGAUGUGAGGGCAGAAAACGGGCCUUCUUUUGAAAUUCACACUGUGCCUAAAGCCCCCAAAGCACCUGUGCACCACUUAACUAUGCACAAGUAAUGCAUAGAACUUGUAUCCGCUUCCUACAUCAAGGUUUUACCUUCAGUCACAAUAAAUCCAUAUCUAAAGUUUUUAAGAAUCA